UAAAUAAGUUUUGCUGUAAUUAAAAUAAUUUAUAUAAAAGAAUGAAAAAGCUUCUGGAAAUGAAAAUCAAACAGUUCGUUUUUUCAUUUUUUAUUACAAAAAUAAAAAUAUUCAUUUACAUGUAAAAAACAUUGAAAUGAGAGUAAUACAGAACUUCAAAUAAAUCAGGAUUUAAUUAAUGUAUAAAUUAAAAAUUAAAUCUUCAAUUUAAAUAAUUCUUAACAAAAACUCAAGAAAUAGUCUGCUAUUUUUUUACUCUUGAUUGAAUUUUACACUAUUAUAUUAAAAUUACAAAUAAAAUAAUGGAUUAAAACUUCAUGUAUUUCUAUCACAGCACAAAAUAACAUCUUACAACAGCACAACGUAAAUUAUUUUAACCAAUCAGUCAGUUCACAUUUAGUAGUCCACGUCAGGAAAACAGAAGCCUCCUCGUCUAACAUGUCCCGAGGGACAAUUGCCGGACAAUGUCAGAAACCGAUUCUCCAAUACCACUGAAACGGGUGCUUUAGUUGUCGCCGUUGAAGUUCUUUUGAAGGCCGUGGACGUUCUUUCGAAGAAGAUGGCGUCGUUUGAUAUUUUAUUGGAUUCAAAAUCAGUUCUCAAACUGCGACCCUCCACUGCCGAUACCAGUACCAAGCAAAUGGCAACAAAAGAAACACUGAUCGGCGACAUGUUGUUCGUUAAAAUGCAACAACACAAGUGAUAUCAUUAAAACCGUCUCCUACUUAUAUAAUGUGUGUUACUCUAGAUGAGCCGGUGUUGACCAUUUGCGGGGUUUUUGUCUAGAGUAGCGAAGGGAUCGCCGCGUAACAAAUUAUCCUGUAAGGAUUAUUCAUUCAUAAUGUUAUUACGUCAAAUGGUACGUAGAACGGUUGAUGUUCUCGUAUGCGGAAUUCCGAACAUUUAAUAUUAUUUCAAUAAAAUUUACAAGCUGUAGUUACACCGAUACAAUUAUAUCUUGUAAAUUUCAGUAUAUUAAAAAUUACGAAUCAAAACUGAUUACGCUCCAAUGUACAUAUUGUGACUGAAUUAAUAAUUAACAAAUAUUGUUUUAUAUGAAACUGCUAAUUACGACUAUGAUUAUUUUUAUAAAAUUUUUAACGUGAUCUACAUUGUUGAUACUGUGGCCACGUACAGCUUAAGCAUUACGGGACACCCUGUAUAAGUAUAAAAGCCGAAUGGACUCACAAAAAAAGAGGAGAGAAGCGGCCGCCCCUGAAGAACGAAGAGAAGAAGGAAGACAGAAGAAGAAGAGAUCAAGAGAGAAGAAAGAAACGAAGAAAGAAGUCGGUAACAACCAAAGAAAAAUCAAGCCUGCCACUCACCAACCUGCAGCGCAUCACCCCUGCCUCAAUAGGCAGGGAAUCACGAGGCCAGGCAGAGGGGCUUCCCCGAGGCCCAUCCAGUGCCCCCAUAAGGGGACGCGACGACCCGAUAAUAACACGCUAUGUCAUCAAGUAAAUAUGAAGCUUUAGUGCUAGUAGAGGAAGAACUAUGUAGUUAUUCACUAGUAGUUGAAAGAGGCUUAGAUUACGUGGCCUUUAUCUUCUAGUUAUAAACGCAAUUAUCAUUGGAGAUCUUUUAUCCUAAAAAUCCCCAUGAAAUUGAGAAUACUUCCUCAUAUCUUAAGAUGAAGUGUUCUCUAAGCUCUAAGGAAUUGCUUGAGGUGAUCCCAUCAUCUCAUUUUUACCAUCACACCGCCCGCCACCGGAGUAGAGUUCAUUCAUACAUCUGGAGCCACUGCGUUCAUUCACAGUACGUUUCCAGAGAUCUUUUUUGCCACGUACCAUUCGGCUUUGGAAUGAGCUGUCCUCUACGGUUUUUCCCGAGCGCUAUGACAUGUCUUUCUUCAAACGAGGCUUAUGAGCAGUUCUUAAUAGUAGGCAGCGGCUUGGCUCUGCCCCUGGCAUUGCUGAAGUCCAUGGGCGACGGUAACCGUUCACCCUCAGGUGGGCCGUAUGCUCGUCUGCCUACAAUGGCAAUAAAAAAAGUGGAUUAAACUAAUGGUUUUUACAAGUUUCAUUAACCAUUUAAUACUUUCUGACCUUGUCUCCACCAUAAAGAAUAAAAUAAAUAAGCGCUGCUUCAAUUUUAAUUUAAUUCAACAUUUAAAAAUUGAUUUUUUUCCAGCGUAUUUUUUGUACUUACAUAACAAAUGUCCUUAAUGUUCAAAAAACAAGUUUGAACAUGACGGUAUGAAUCGUACCGGAAAAUCUUAAAACUUAAUAGGAUUUUGGUAUGACGUUUCAAAUAUAUUUAAAUUACGUAUUUUUUCGCUGCUUUAAUGGGUGGACGAGCUCACGGCCCACCUGGUGUUAAGUGGCUACUGGAGCCCAUAGAUAUUAACAACUUAAUUGUCGUGCAAAGACAACACGUGUUGUAAUAUCUUUGGGUUUCGGUAAUCACAUGAACCCAAAUGAACCAGUGAUCCGCAAUCUACCUAAUCCACGAAAUAAAAAAAAGCACACUCUAAAAUACUAAACGGAAUUUCUUAUACCAUAAUUAGACUAGAGGCUGAAUCGGAAACAAGUUAGUAAAACGGGGUUGGUUGUUUGUGCUAGAAUUAUCUGAAAAAUGCGACAUCUUCUAAGUAUUCCAAAUCAACUGACUUUUAGCUCAAUGAAUCAAAGUAAUUUGCGGACUUCACAAUCUAAUAAGCUAUGAACCGUACGCUGCUAAAAUAAUAGAUGUAUAUUUACUUCGAUUAUUUCAAUGUUUUUGAAUCUAAUGAAAUUUAUGAACCCAUUCACUCCUCUUGUUAACAAUACUGAAUCGACUAUUUCCUUAAUUAUUUCUCAAAAUACAUUUUCCUUCCUUAACAACUUAUCAUCUCAAAAAAAAACACAUCUGAGCAGCUUACGCAUCUAAUACAUUAAUUUUCAUCGUAGCGCUAUUUUGUUGUAAUAACUAAAAUGAAUUUGCAAUUUACAUACUUCUUAAGGUAAAUGAGAUAGCUCCAAUAAAAUAGCAGUUUUUUUUGUCAAACGCAUUUAAGCAGUGACGAGAGCCGCGCCGUUCGGAAUUUCUACUUUAAGUUAGGAUUUUGUAAGACUGUGAUUCAUUUGCCUAGAGAAACAUAUAAAGGUCGACGCGCUUAAGUUGCAAACACCAUUCGUCGCGUUGCUUUGCCGUAACACACACGUCUUCGUAAUAAUCCAAAAUGUCUUCGUUUAGCGUGUGUGUAUUAGUUUUGUGUGUCUUGUGCGUCAUCGCUGAAAGCAAAGUCAUUAAAACCAAAGAGUUCUCGUUACCACCAGAAGGACUUACUGUUGAGAUAUCAAUCAGAACUAAGUCGGCCAGCCACCCGAUCUCAACUGUCAAAGUCGACAUUGACGAGCAGUCUAAGAAAGUGACAGUGUCAAAAGUUCAUCAUCGAUUGAAAGGACGCAAGGUGCGGAAACAUAAAGCCAAAACGGAAGCAACAAUAUUAGAAAACCGGGGUGGUUUCCCGCAAGGCAAUUGUCCAGAUAUGUGGGAGUGGAAUUCGGGCAUGUGUAUACCCAUAGCCGACUACGAAUAACUGUGAUUAUAUUGGAAGUAUUGUGUAGAAUUUGAGCCAGAACAGUAUUAUUUUAAGCAGUUAUGUUAUUUAUUUAUACUUAAAUUAAACUUUGUUACGUUUGAAAAAUAUUUUUAUUUUUAUUUAUUAAAAAACACAUUCCUUUGCCAAUCCACAGUGCAAUUUUUAUUAGAAAUGCGAAGUCAAGUCUGCGUUUAUGUCAGGCUGUCUGAUACCUUUUCAAGACCAAGCGGCCUGAUAAAAAUUUAAAUACAAUAAAGUAUCUUAAAAAACUAUACGUUAAUACGCUACAUUUAUGGGCGAAAAAAAAUUGUUUUUCAUUACCCGAAAUUAUUAUGAAUUACUACAAAAAAAGUUCUUUUAAUUAUUUCUACGACUUGCAAAUCCGAAGAACAUACUAAAUUAUAUUAUAUUAUUGUGCAUAUUUUCAUUGUCAUGAGCCGAUCCAGGCGUACACACACAUUUUGAUGUCUAUGGACUCUCAUAAGCACUUUAGACCGGUCGAGCUCAUUCACCAACUACGUAAUAAAAAAAUAUAUAUAUAUGUAUGUAUGUAUAAAUAUAUACAGGAUUCCUUAAACACUCUACAUAAAUGUCGCUACGUUCCCACCAUCCAUAGAACUCGGGCGUUGCCAAUUAGAGAGCUAUUUUAUCCUACGUAAAGGUUGACAUAAUGUCACAACGAAAAAAUGAAAGCAAAAGCCGCAAAAAGUAAUAAAACAUAAUAGAAUCUGGAAAAUUAUUUUGUUAAUUGCUAUCAAGGAUCGUUGAUGUUUGGAGUACUCUUACUCUUUUAAGAGUAAUAUUCUACCACCGGAUCGGAAACGCGACCCACUGAGAAGAUCCGGCGAGAAACUCAGCGGGCUGUGUCUGAGAGUUCUAACUAACAUUCACGCAAACACAUUAUCAGAUGAGGGGCAAGCACGUCUGCCUAGGAAGCACCCAAAAUAAGCUAAGCUAUGAUCUUAUAAUUAAGAUACCCCAAUAUGAAUUUGAUGUAUUGGUGUUAGUAUAAUCAGUAGUUUAAUAACAGUAAUAAAAUUCAUUGAUGAAGUUUUUUUUUUUAUUAAAUUGUUUCGAUUUAAGCACUUAUGCUUUUAAGUUUCAUAAUAACAUUUAAACUAAGUUUCGGUAAUUCAAUUACUUCUCACUAAUAAUUUGUCGUCUUGUGACGCUCAUAUGAAAAAUAAAUUAACUAAAAUAAUCACCUUAAAAACUAUAUUUACAAUUAAAUAAAAUAAAAAUCACUUCACAAUAAUACUGCUUUGGCACACGAUUUACGGUUUCAAUUGAGCUAUGAUGAAAUCAAACGAAUGCUAAUAUUCGUCGUCUAUAGGCACACACAUGCCCAUCGUGUCACUCCACUGGUAGCCAUCUGGACAAUUGCCUUGUGGAAACCCGUUCCGAUCCUCCAGCUCGUAUAUCUCCGUCGGCGAUGAAACUUCAACGCUCAGAUCAGGUUGUCGCGUCUGGCGUUCUUUCUCGCUGUCCUGGACACUAGCCUCCAUCACUUUCCUGCACAGCUUAUCCGCGUCAAUUUCCACCGCUAAGAUCGGGUAAUUGGGUGACUUAGUGCUGGCUGAACUCCCGAUAGGCGGUUCUUUAGACGGUAACGGAACCUCCUUGGUUCUAAUGACACUGCUUUUUGCGAUGACGCACAAGAUACAUGAAAGUAUAACACACGCGCUAGACGAAGACAUAUUUGACGGAAGAUAAAAACGAAAUAUAAUUAUUUUGUAAGUGGAAACGUGUGUGCUACUGGCGAUUUAUCUGACGAAUGAUGCUAUGGUGUCGGACGCAAUGACCUUUAUAUGCUUCAUCAUCAUACAGGUAUAAGAUUCGUAACAUUGAUGAUUCACCCAAUAAUAUUCAAUGUCCUAUGCCGCGUUAAAGCAUCGACAUUCCAACUUUUACUGGUUUUGUAAUUCCCAGUUUAAUAAAAUUUUCUAUUGCAUAACAUUGCAAACAUCUUUUUAAGAAAUUGUGUCAUUUUUAUAUUUAAAUGGUGUGAUGUAAUGUAAUCAAAUAACAAACUCUUCACAAAUUAAAAUGCUGUUAAUAAUGUCAGAAAUAAAUAAAACACUAAAAUUAA